GCCGGGUUGUGGUGGCAUGGGCCUAUAAUCCAAGUCACUGGAGGCUGAGGUUGGUGGAUCAAGUGAGCUGAGGAGCUCUGGGCUGCAGCACACUAUGUGGAACGGGUGUCCACGCUAAGUUCGGUAUCGAUAUGGUGUUCCUGGGGGAGCCCGGGACCACCAGGUUGUCUAAGGUGGGGUGAACCGGCCCAGGUCGGAAACGAUGCAGGUCAAAUCCCCCGUGCUGUCCAGUAGUGGGAUAAUACCUGUGAGUAGAUGCUGCAGUGCAGCCUUGGCGAAACAUCGAGACCUAAUCUUCC
ensembl:misc_RNA Metazoa_SRP Metazoan signal recognition particle RNA